CCCUUAGAUGUUCUGGGCUGCACGCGCGCUACACUGUCGGAUUCAGCGAGUCAUAUCCUUAACCGAAAGGUUUGGGUAAUCUUUUGAAAGUCCGACGUGAUGGGGAUCGAUCAUUGCAAUUAUUGAUCAUGAACGAGGAAUUCCUAGUAAGUGCAAGUCAUCAGCUUGCGCUGAUUACGUCCCUGCCCUUUGUACACACCGCCCGUCGCUACUACCGAUUGAAUGGUUUAGUGAGAUCUCUGGAUUGACGCUGGCUAGGGGGCGACCCUUGGCCAGACUGUUGAGAAACUGCUCAAACUUGAUCAUUUAGAGGAAGUAAAAGUCGUAACA
rnacentral:rRNA from 1 species